rnacentral:lncRNA from 1 species
GAAGGAUUAGAAAACAUAUUGAAGGUUGGGGAAGCAGAAAAAGCCAACACUGAAGGCAUUAAUUACUAUGCUCAGCUGAUUGAUGAUGCUGAGGGAUUGGAAAAGAUUGAAAACCUUCAGAGUCAUGAUAACAAUGAAAUAUAUGAGAAGGCUGUUAAAAUACUGGAGACAUACUGGUUGGAGGAGGAGGAUGAAACAGUGCCGGCUGGUGAUGGGGCACAAAAUGAGUUCAAUUUUGGUGGAAAUGAUAUUCAACUUCCAUCUGGUGGUUUCAAGUUUGGUUGAAAGUACUACUACACUCAUCCUCCAAUUAUCUCCCUUAGCAGGUGGUCAGGUUAACAUUGCACUCGAAGCAUUUGAUCAGAUACCUUAAUCUGCAUGCUCUUUUUGGAUCAAAAGCAUUUUUGUUACUUCUUUGUUGUUGAUCUGAAGUGUUUAACAUGUGCAGGCUGUGUAUGGUGGAUGAGAAGUGCAGUUUGAAAGAUGACAUGUUGGUAGUGGUGUCAUGUCAAGUCGAGUCAGUUCACCUCCCCGAGUCUGGUCAGUCCGG